UAUAAAGAACUUCCUCACUGUCUUACCGUGCCCACUAGAAUCCACUUGUUGUUUUCAAGGCCUGGCACAAUUAUUCUAUUUCUGGUGAAUUUGUCUGACCAUAUUCACCUCUUCCCCCAAACAAUCCUCUUUUGGCUUUUUUGUUUUCCUUUUUUGUCCUUUUUGUUUGUGUAAGAACAGCUGAUUUCUGCACUAUUGGGUUUGUUUUUAUUUAAAUAUUGUUUUUGAAGAUUUUCAAAAGUAACUAGUGAUUUUGGAUACUUCAAUUUUUGGAUGCUGUGACAGAGAGCUGGGCAGCAGCUGUACCAGCACCUGGAUUACUGGCUCACCAAUUAAAUUGGCCCAGAGUAAACCAGAGGGGCAAAGCCUAAUUGAUAGAUUGGGGAUGGGCUGGAGGAAGUUACAAGGCUAAUUAAUCCAUUAGCCCAGAAAGUAGAAAAGGUGCAGAAAGGAAGUGCAGGGGAUAGAAAAGCAGGCUAGUGGAGCCAGAACCAGGAAAGCUGUCUGGGUAGAGUGAUCGCUUCUUUUCCUUCCUGAGAGGACUGAGGAGAAACUGAAACUGUAAAUAAUUAUGGUGUAUGGAUCAGAAAGGUGAUGGGAAGAGCAAAUGUAAACAAACUGCAUGUGGGAGCUUGUCUGGGAUCACAGCUGGUGUAAGAGUUUGGGGGCCUGGACUAUGGAGGAGACCCUGCCAUACCAGUGAAACAGCAAGACAACUCUGCAAAGUUUCCAGCAGCCACACCACCUGGACUGGCAGUUGUUGUAUGUCUGGCAGGCGGCACGGCAAAAGGGUCUGCAGAACUUUGUGAGCACAAGCAAAUAUGCAGCAGUAGUUACUACAAAGGGUGGGUUCUCUUAAUUGGAAUGUGCUGGGAAGGGUCUGGUACACCUCAUGCUAGGGACCAUAUUCCGAUCUCAUUUGGAAAGGUGACUCUUGCACCCAGGAAAGUAUUAGAGAUCAUUUUGGUCCCAUGUCCGUUGCUGCUUGUGCAUCAUAAACUGCUUCCACACAGAGGUGGACCUGCAGUGGCCCAAUGAACUUAAGAGGAUUUCACUUCCUUUUUCUUCUAGAGUUUGUUCUCUAUCUUACUGCUCGUGCAGCUAUCUCAAGCCAUCAAUGUGUACAUAUCCUGGGUGAGCAGCACUCACUGAAAAUGUUCAGAAAGUGACCUGUGACAGCAGAAUCAAAAGAGAAGGCAGAGAGGAGAAGAACAUGAAGAUCUGCCUUGCCCUUUUUGUGCCUGACCAGAAGCCCAUGAAAGUCACCAGGUGGACUCCCUUUCGUUUCAGUGGGUUUUGGAUCAGGCCCAGUAUGAGUGUCCAUAUCCUUCAUGAAACUGCAUAGAGAUUUAGACAGCUCUAGCAUUGAAGCUGAAAUAUUUCUGAACUCAGCUGAGUAUGUUUGGGUCUGGUAUGAUUUUUAUCUUUGGUGCCACCCACCCCACAGUCCCCACUGUAGCAUAUUGUUCACACGUGGGUUAUUUUUUUUAAUAAGGAAAGAGUCUGUAAGUUUUUGGUGUUGCUAAAAAUCCAUUGUUCACUGUCCAAACAUGGAUACCGCCUACUCCCUCUCAAGGAAUCUGGAUAAUGUAAUCAAAUACACAUUUCUUGUACUAAGAAGAAUUAUAAUGAGCUAUCAUUAGAGGGCAUUCCAAAUGUUACACUUUCUGCACUAGCCCUGCAGCACAGGUUGGUGGUGCUUCUCUCAUGACAAAAAUAUGAAAAUCAUAUUUAUAAAAAGGACUUCAGUUUGUGGUGCUUGGGGUUUUUUUGGAUUGGAAUGGGAGAACCAAGACUUGCCCCCUCCCCCAAACUUUUCCGGGACUAGUGAGAAUAGUAAAGUACUACCAGCCAACACCCCAAAAGCAAUCAAACAAGGUCUGUAAAAUGUUUGUCACAUCCAGUGUCAUGAUUGAGGCACUGAUUCAACAAGGUACUUAAGUGCCCAGUCCUAAGUAUGAGUGGUCCAUUGAUUUUUAUCUGACAGUGGUUCAACCAUGCACUGUCAACCCAAGAUAUGAUGGUUUGUGGUGGAGGAGAUAAAAGAAGGGGAGUUACAAUUAUUUUUCUGUGUGGCCCUUGCAGAUUACUACUGUUGAGAUUAGGUACCCCGACGCUGCAGUCCUAUCGUGUGGCAGCUUUUAACAAGGGAUGUUAAAGAAAGUGUGGGGUCUCUGAAGAAAGACUGGGCAAUGAUGUUCUUGUGUCCUGGAUUGCUUAGCUCUAUAAGAGAACUGGGCAGAAAGUGGUAAGGAUAUUUCAUGAAAGAUUUUAAAAGAAACAAAACAGUAUCUUCAUUUUUUUGUCCACAAA